UACGAAGGGGGCUAGCGUUGCUCGGAAUCACUGGGCGUAAAGCGCACGUAGGCGGACUCUUAAGUCAGGGGUGAAAUCCUGGAGCUCAACUCCAGAACUGCCCUUGAUACUGGGAGCCUUGAGUUCGGGAGAGGUGAGUGGAACUGCGAGUGUAGAGGUGAAAUUCGUAGAUAUUCGCAAGAACACCAGUGGCGAAGGCGGCUCACUGGCCCGAUACUGACGCUGAGGCGCGAAAGCGUGGGGAGCGAACAGG
rnacentral:rRNA from 1 species